ACCUCGAUUCUCUGAAUUCCAUUAAAUUCCGAGACUUCUAGGUUCCACUGGGGUGAAGACAGGCAAAUGUUUGAAACGACAGUAAUCCAAGCUGCAGAUUUGGUUUCCGAGUUUGUCUGCACAACGGAACCAUCUAUUCCAGAAAGAUUGGGAUUUAAUUGGUGUGUGUGGCCUGGCCUUUGGAAUCUAAAGGUCCUUGAGAGUCUAAGGAACAGAUACUUUUUUUCCGGUACCACAGAACCAAAGCAGCUGUAAUAAUUGCUGAACAGUCAACACAUAGGUCUCCUUUAACUUCCAGCAUUGCCAUUUUUCUUAUACAGCGGGGGAGGAAUGGGGGAGGAGACAGAAUGUUUACCUUGCGCAAGAGUGCACAACUAAUGGCAGAGCAGAAGUACUAUACCAGAGUUGAGGAAUUCCAGGCCCAAAGCGUAUCUCGCCCAUGUUUAGUACUGGCCUCCUUGUCAUGAUGGUGUUACCAUGAAAAUAUAAUGAGGCAUCUGGAGUGCCAGAGCACUGUUGCGUUACGUCCUGGAAUGUAAACUUCAUGAGAGCAGGGUUUUUCUUUGGGGGCAGGUUGAGGACAUUUCCUGCACCAGGCUCCUGGAAUGUAACAGAAGCUUAAUAUUUAUUGAAUGAAUUGCUGACUGAAUAAAUUACUAAUAAAGUAUAGGUAAUUAUUUGCUAGUUCAUAGUAAUCCAUCUUUACCCACCAAUAGCUAAUACAAGGGAUUCACUAAAAAAGAAUCUUGAACACUGAAAGUAUUACCAAUAUUUCAUUUUUAUCAUUUCUAUCCAUUUUGCCAGUUAAAGCAAAGAAAAUAAAAACUUUCUGCUCUUAUUCUUUGUUUAGUAUAAUAAAGCACAGUUUUGUUUUUGUUAUUUUCAUUAUGACCAGUGAUUAGCUCCUAUGCUGGUUGAAGUUUGUCACACUGCUGACUCUGAAAUGGAAGAUAGGCAUCACGGUAUACUUAACGAUUUUUAUUCCAACGGUUUCUUUCCAACCUGACUCUCUUGACUCUCUUGAGAAUUGCCAUUAAAAAGCCAAGAAAAUCACUCUAGGAGACCCCUGUGUGGGGAGGGGUUAAGUUUUGACUUGUUACUGGACAGGUGAGCUACUACAUCAGGCAGCACAACCAAACAGGAAAUAACCGAAGGAUUUUAUCAUUUACAGAUCCUGAGAGAAGGGAGAGGGUGUGCAAAAGACACAACAGGAAGAGUGGAGACAGCAAGGGACUCAACUAGCAGGGACAUUGCAAAUAUGAUUAAGAUACGGACAUUGAGAUGAGUGGAGUAGCUUGGAUCAUCUAGGUGGGCCCUAGGUAAUCAUAAGGGUCCUUAUAAGAAGAUCAGAGUUAAAGAAGGGUCAGAGUGUUGCAGUUAACUUCUACACCUGGAAAAGGCAAAGAAACAGAUUCUUCUCCCAGGGCUUCCAGAAGAGUACAGUCCUGCUUCUCUACAGCCCUGAACAAGUCUGCCUUUUUCUGUCUGCUGAUAUCCAGCACUAUCUACCACUCUGUGACUUCUGGCUCUUCCUCAAAGUGAAGGUAACCAUGAAGGGUAAAUAUUUUUGAUCAGUUCUGGCAUCAAGGCAGCAAUGACAGUGCAACUAAGACACUUACAAAACAGGACUUCCAGAACUGCUUCAGAAAGUCACAAGAAUGCAUGGUUCUGAAUGUGGAUGAUAGAAUUACUCAAGAGGGAAGACCUGCCCUGAGUGAGGAUGGCACCAGCCAAUAGGCUUGUAGCCUGGAUGAAAUAAAAGAGAAAGAAGAAGGAAGUCUCACUGUCUCCUGCCUCCCACGCUGUGGACCGUUUUUCCUCUGACAGGGCGCCCUGCCUUGGAGCCAGCUGACCAUGGACUGAAACCCUUAAAAACUGUGCUAAAAUGAACCUUUCCUCCUUUAAGUUGUGGGUGUUGGGUAUUUGCCCCAGUAAAGAAAAAGUAAAACACAUGGUUUCCACUCGGGUUUACUUUUGGUAUUGUGCAUUCAUUCUGUGGGCUUGGACAAAUUUCAAAUGAUACAUAUUCACCGUUAUAGUAUCAUACAAAGUAGUUUCAUUGCUGUAAAAUCUUCUGUGCUUUGUAAAUUCAACCCAUUCUCCCCCUUUACAUUAUCUUCUAGGAACUUUAUAGUUUUACAUUUUAUCUUUAACCUGUGAUCUAUUUCUUUAACUAAUUUUUGUGAAGCCUAUAAGGUCUAUGUCUAGAUCUAUUUUUUUUCCAUGUAGAUGUCCAGUUGUUCUAGCACCAUUUAUUGCCUUUGCUCUUUGUCAAUGAUUUAUACUUAUGUAGACAUAUUUGGGGGUUCUUUCUAUUGUUCAAUACCACUCUCUUGAUCACUGUAGCUUUAUAAUAUUUCUUGAAGUCAGAUAGUGUCAGUCUUCCAACUUUGUUCUUCCAUAUUUCAUGGCUAUUUGGAAUCUUUUGUUCCUCCACAUCUACAUUGUAAUCAAUUUGGCAAGAUUCACAAAAUAGCUUUCUGAGAUUUUGAUUUAAAUUGCAUUGAAUCUGUAGCUCAAGUUAGGAAAAACUGACAUCUU